rnacentral:rRNA from 1 species
GACGUAGGGUCCAAGCGUUGUCCGGAUUUACUGGGCGUAAAGCGUGCGCAGGCGGCUUCUCAAGUCAGGGGUGAAAGCCCAGAGCUCAACUCUGGAAUUGCCUUUGAGACUGAGUGGCUUGAGUACGGGAGAGGUGAGUGGAAUUCCCAGUGUAGAGGUGAAAUUCGUAGAUAUUGGGAAGAACACCGGUGGCGAAGGCGGCUCACUGGCCCGUAACUGACGCUCAUGCACGACAGCGUGGGGAUCAAACAGG